ensembl:snRNA U2 U2 spliceosomal RNA
UCUACUUCUCAGUCUUUUAGCUAAUGUCAAGUAUAGUAUCUGUUCUUAUCAGUUUAAUAUCUGAUGCAUCCUCAGUAAAGGGUAUUACAUAUUACACGAAACUUUAUAGAAUAAGGAUUUGGAAGAAGGGAGGCUUGCCCUGUCUGCUCUAUGCAUUGACCUGGUAUUGUAGUGCCUCCAGGAAUUGUGCACCUCCA